UAUGAAGCUCUGCACAAGUGUGGAGCAUACACCCACUUGAUGAAUGAUGAGGACCGUGAGAAUCUCAAAUGGGUCAACAUUUUCAACGAGUAUGAUCUGUACAGCAAGAGCAAAGAGAGGAUUGAUGUGGAGAAGGUGAAGCCAUACUAUGAGUCUCUCAUUAAGAAGUACUUCCCAGAGAAGCUCAAGUGGUGAAAUUUUGGAGAGUUUGGAAGUUACUGGUAGUUC